UCAUUAAUGAGUACUUUCAAGUUAGCGUGUAUACCGCAUCCGUGUAUACGAAUACACUUACUACCCCUGUUGGGUGGUUUUGCUCCUCCGUUUUUGACAACAUUAGAAGGAGAAAAGGAGACAAACUAGUCAAAAGUAGGUAAAAGUGAACUGGCCGUUGGGUACUUUUUUCUUACCGUGUACGAAUACAGCACCCCACACGAAUAAAGCCCUACAGUAAAAGUAUGGACGACUGACACCACAAAACUGAAAAAAGCUGUUCCAAUCGAGCAAAGCGGUGCAUUUUGACGGUUCGAUUGGAACAACUUUUGACAGACGUCCAUACUUUUACUGUAGGGCUUUACACACGAAUUGCCGGCGACAAAGUGACGUCAUUUGACAUUGGGCGACUUAAAGACUGACGUUUUUAAAUUGGUGUGUUUUUUUUUGUCGUGCGCUCAGCCAUCUUGUCUGGUUUGUUUAUAAACAAACUAGACAAGAUGGCUGAGUGCACGGAGCGCACCGCAAAUUCCUUCACCCGAGCCGCGAAGGAAAGUAGCAACUUUAACACCGGCUGCUUCCAAUAAUUCCGGAUUGGGACGUGUACGGAAAUUGAAUAGAGCCGCCUGCUUCCAAUAAUUCCGGAGGUGUUCGGGAAUAGAGUGGCAACCACUUACGCUAGGGAGGCAAUUGAACACCUAGACCUGGACUCAUCAACUCAAGGGCCAGGAUCCACGGCUGUGCUUCUUUUCGAAGGAAGGCAUGACACCACCAAAGCAACCAAGGAAGUCAUCAAUCCCCACCAACUGACGAGUUUCGUUUGUGGUUCGACACAUGGACGGAGCAUUUGUGUUUUGCUAAAUUUUGCAAAUUAUUGGGGAAUUUCCCUAAAGUUUCACGCGGCCACCAGUUUUCACUCUUCCACAGGC